rnacentral:rRNA from 1 species
UACGGAGGAUGCGAGCGUUAUCCGGAUUUAUUGGGUUUAAAGGGUGCGUAGGCGGGCUUUUAAGUCAGCGGUAAAAAUUCGGGGCUCAACCCCGUCCGGCCGUUGAAACUGGGGGCCUUGAGUGGGCGAGAAGAAGGCGGAAUGCGUGGUGUAGCGGUGAAAUGCAUAGAUAUCACGCAGAACCCCGAUUGCGAAGGCAGCCUUCCGGCGCCCUACUGACGCUGAGGCACGAAAGUGCGGGGAUCGAACAGA